GUAGGUGAACCUGCGGAAGGAUCAUUAAUAUAGAAAUAGAGUCUGAGGGGUGUAUACCGCAAAGCUCUAAUUUUUCCGAAUAACAUGGACUGAGGGAUUACGGACCUGAAAUGAAGUGUCGGAAACUGAAAAGUGGCGCAAGAUUGGGAACGUAUGAACUUGGAAAGUGUUUGCACCGACUGUGUCUUAUGGGCACAGACAGUGUGAAAUUACUUGUUGAAACACUUUGAUUAUGCUUCGGCUGCACCUUCGGCCUUAAAACAGCGGAGGGAUAAGUCGGCCAGAGGCACUUCUUAAUAAAAUUAGUUGAUGAAAUGUCAUGCUGUCUGAUACUGUUUAGUAUUUGAGAAAUCGAAUAUAUAUUAAAACUUUCAGCAACGGAUCUCUUGGUUCUC
rnacentral:misc_RNA from 1 species